rnacentral:rRNA from 1 species
GCUUAGGACGAACGUCCGGCGGGGUCGCUCACACAUGCAAGUUCGAAACGAACGAAGCUUCGCCUCGUCAGGGCGGUUACGCGGCGAACGGGUGAGUCAUCCGUCGAGUCGCCUCCUCUUCGACUCCGGGAUCAGCCCGGGAGAAACUCGGGUUUCAUACCGGAUCCGAACCAAUUCUCGCACGGGGGGUUCGGUCGGAAGCGUUCAGGAGUGGUUUUCAGAUGGGGCUCACGGCCUAUCAGCUUCGUUGGUGAGGUAAUGGCUUACCAAGGGCGAAGACCGGGUAGCCGGCCUGAGAGGGGUGACCGGCUACACUGGGACUGAGACACGGCCCAGAAUCCUACGGGAGGCAGCAGUGGGGAAUAUUGCACAAUGGGCGCAAGCCUGAUGCAGCGACGCCGCGUGAGGGGAAUGACGGCUCUUCGGGUUGUAAAACCUCUGUUAGCAUCGAAGAAACCAAAGUGACGGUAGGUGCAGAGAAAGCGCCGGCUAACUACGUGCCAGCAGCCGCGGUAAUACGUAGGGCGCGAGCCGUUUUUCGGAAUUAUUGGGCGUAAAGAGCUUGUAGGCGGUUGGUCGCGUCUGCUGUGAAAGGCUGGGGCUUAACCCUGGUUUUGCAGUGGGUACGGGCUAACUAGAGUGCAGUAGGGGAGACUGGAAUUCCUGGUGUAGCGGUGGAAUGCGCAGAUAUCAGGAGGAACACCGAUGGCGAAGGCAGGUCUCUGGGCUGUAACUGACGCUGAGAAGCGAAAGCAUGGGGAGCGAACAGGAUUAGAUACCCUGGUAGUCCAUGCCGUAAACGUUGGGCACUAGGUGUGGGGGACAUUCCACGUUUUCCGCGCCGUAGCUAACGCAUUAAGUGCCCCGCCUGGGGAGUACGGCCGCAAGGCUAAAACUCAAAGAAAUUGACGGGGGCCCGCACAAGCGGCGGAGCAUGCGGAUUAAUUCGAUGCAACGCGAAGAACCUUACCAAGGCUUGACAUAUACUGGACUGCGUCAGAGAUGGCGUUUCCCUUCGGGGCUGGUAUACAGGUGGUGCAUGGUUGUCGUCAGCUCGUGUCGUGAGAUGUUGGGUUAAGUCCCGCAACGAGCGCAACCCUCGUUCUAUGUUGCCAGCACGUGAUGGUGGGGACUCAUAGGAGACUGCCGGGGUCAACUCGGAGGAAGGUGGGGAUGACGUCAAAUCAUCAUGCCCCUUAUGUCUUGGGCUUCACGCAUGCUACAAUGGCCGGUACAGAGGGUUGCGAUACUGUGAGGUGGAGCUAAUCCCUAAAAGCCGGUCUCAGUUCGGAUUGGGGUCUGCAACUCGACCCCAUGAAGUCGGAGUCGCUAGUAAUCGCAGAUCAGCAACGCUGCGGUGAAUACGUUCCCGGGCCUUGUACACACCGCCCGUC